rnacentral:rRNA from 1 species
GAUGAACGCUGGCGGCGUGCCUAAUACAUGCAAGUCGAGCGAACAGACGAGGAGCUUGCUCCUCUGACGUUAGCGGCGGACGGGUGAGUAACACGUGGAUAACCUACCUAUAAGACUGGGAUAACUUCGGGAAACCGGAGCUAAUACCGGAUAAUAUAUUGAACCGCAUGGUUCAAUAGUGAAAGACGGUUUUGCUGUCACUUAUAGAUGGAUCCGCGCCGCAUUAGCUAGUUGGUAAGGUAACGGCUUACCAAGGCAACGAUGCGUAGCCGACCUGAGAGGGUGAUCGGCCACACUGGAACUGAGACACGGUCCAGACUCCUACGGGAGGCAGCAGUAGGGAAUCUUCCGCAAUGGGCGAAAGCCUGACGGAGCACCGCCGCGUGAGUGAUGAAGGUCUUCGGAUCGUAAAACUCUGUUAUUAGGGAAGAACAAAUGUGUAAGUAACUAUGCACGUCUUGACGGUACCUAAUCAGAAAGCCACGGCUAACUACGUG